rnacentral:rRNA from 1 species
AUACAGAGGGUGCAAGCGUUAAUCGGAUUUACUGGGCGUAAAGCGCGCGUAGGUGGCUAAUUAAGUCAAAUGUGAAAUCCCCGAGCUUAACUUGGGAAUUGCAUUCGAUACUGGUUAGCUAGAGUAUGGGAGAGGAUGGUAGAAUUCCAGGUGUAGCGGUGAAAUGCGUAGAGAUCUGGAGGAAUACCGAUGGCGAAGGCAGCCAGCUGGCCUAAUACUGACACUGAGGUGCGAAAGCAUGGGGAGCAAACAGGAUUAGAUACCCUGGUAUUCCAUGCCGUAAACGAGGUCUACUAGCCGUUGGGGCCCUUGAGGCUUUAGUGGCGCAGCUAACGCGAUAAGUAGACCGCCUGGGGAGUACGGUCGCAAGACUAAAACUCAAAUGAAUUGACGGGG